GGUUGCGCAGCUGCUGGUAGAUGUGCAGGAGCUUCUCCGUGUCCUCCUUGGUCAGGGGCGAGUGGUCGCGCAGGGACUGCGCCUCCUUCAGCAGCAUCUCAUGGUUGGUCUGGAUCUGGCGCAGAUACUGCAUGCGGAGGUCAGGGGGCCCCGAGCCCUGUGCCGCCUGCUCCAACACCAGCGCCUGCAUGCGGCGGAUGACGGCGUGGUGCAUCCUGCACGUGUGAGCCAGAGAUGGGCUCUCCAUCAGGAUCUCCACCGCCUGGAUGGGGCCGGCUGGGCUGAGGUCAUUCAUGGCCACCUCUCGGAUGAUCAGCUGCACCUCUCCU
rnacentral:lncRNA from 1 species